rnacentral:rRNA from 1 species
UGCAAGUCGAACGGAAGGCCCCUUUGGGGGUACUCGAGUGGCGAACGGGUGAGUAACACGUGAGUAACCUGCCCUUGACUUCGGGAUAACUUCAGGAAACUGGGGCUAAUACCGGAUAGGAAUCCUUGCUGCAUGGUGGGGGUUGGAAAGCUUCGGCGGUUUUGGAUGGACUCGCGGCUUAUCAGCUUGUUGGUGGGGUAGUGGCUUACCAAGGCUUUGACGGGUAGCCGGCCUGAGAGGGCGACCGGCCACAUUGGGACUGAGAUACGGCCCAGACUCCUACGGGAGGCAGCAGUGGGGAAUAUUGCACAAUGGGCGGAAGCCUGAUGCAGCAACGCCGCGUGCGGGAUGACGGCCUUCGGGUUGUAAACCGCUUUCAGCAGGGGCGAAGCUUUUGUGACGGUACCUGCAGAAGAAGCACCGGCUAACUACGUGCCAGCAGCCGCGGUGAUACGUAGGGUGCGAGCGUUGUCCGGAUUUAUUGGGCGUAAAGAGCUCGUAGGUGGUUGAUUGCGUCGGAAGUGAAAACUUGGGGCUUAACCCUGAGCGUGCUUUCGAUACGGGUUGACUUGAGGAAGGUAGGGGAGAAUGGAAUUCCUGGUGGAGCGGUGGAAUGCGCAGAUAUCAGGAGGAACACCAGUGGCGAAGGCGGUUCUCUGGACCUUUCCUGACGCUGA